AACGAACGCUGGCGGCAGGCCUAACACAUGCAAGUCGAGCGAGCUCUUCGGGGCUAGUGGCGAACGGGUGAGUAACGCGUGGGAACGUGCCCUUCUCUACGGAAUAGUCCCGGGAAACUGGGUUUAAUACCGUAUACGCCCUUCGGGGGAAAGAUUUAUCGGAGAAGGAUCGGCCCGCGUUGGAUUAGGUAGUUGGUGGGGUAAUGGCCUACCAAGCCGACGAUCCAUAGCUGGUUUGAGAGGAUGAUCAGCCACACUGGGACUGAGACACGGCCCAGACUCCUACGGGAGGCAGCAGUGGGGAAUCUUAGACAAUGGGGGAAACCCUGAUCUAGCCAUGCCGCGUGAUCGAUGAAGGCCUUAGGGUUGUAAAGAUCUUUCAGUGGGGAAGAUAAUGACUGUACCCACAGAAGAAGCCCCGGCUAACUCCGUGCCAGCAGCCGCUGUAA
rnacentral:rRNA from 1 species